CCAGCUUGGUGGGCAUAGCAGAGCAUGACCCCUUCCAUUAAGGAGCUGCUCUCCAAGGAGAUGAAGAUGUGUGAGGAAAGUAUGAUAAUGUUAAUAUCUGUUACUAUCAGCAUAGGGUCUGGGGUUGCUAACAAGGAUGCUGAUAUGCAGGGUGAAACUGUGAUAAACAGUAAACUUUAAACAUGUAUGAUCUGUGAAAGAAAGGGCAUCUUUUCUGGUAGUGUGAACCAGAAAAAUGUUGCUUUGAAAGAUUAGAAGACCAGUAGAAGAAUGGUAGCUAACAGGAGAAUGCAGGGCGUUGGGUAGAGAUGGCAGUGGGAUACUGAUGUUUGCACAAGUGGCAUUGCAACUAUGUAAAUAUGUACAUCUUUCCACAGAACAGAUAAUAAUGUGUCUAACCCUUCACUGGGUCCUACCUUUGCAUAAGCAGAUCUGUGCAAACUGUAGGUUGCUGGAAAAUAAGGACACUAUCACAGAAUGUUUAAGGGCACCUUACUACCUCCAAAUUGAGUUGGUAGGACAAUAUCUCAAAAUGUCAGAGGUAUCCAAACAACAACCAGCUGAAGUAAUCACCUCUUGUCUGAUGGAGACUUGUUGGCACAGAUAACCUCUCUACAUGCAGAAUAUUUCAAUAAAUUGUAUGGAAUCCAGUACA
rnacentral:lncRNA from 1 species